rnacentral:lncRNA from 1 species
AAAAGAUGAACUCUCUCAAAUAUUACGUUAUCCUGCUCUCGUUGCUUACCCUUGCCAUUAUCACUCUAGCACAGGAGGAUGCCAAUUAUCUCCAUCAUAAUUGCCAAAACGCAUCCACCUCCGCAAUAAACAGCACCUACCGAGUCAAUCUAAAUCUCCUCCUCUCUUCACUUGCCUCAAACGCAACCCGGAAUAAUACCAAUGGAUUCUACAACACCUCUUUCGGGCAGAACACUGAUCAAGUGUACGGCCUGUUUAUCUGCCGUGGCGAUCUUAGCAACACUGUUUGCCGAAAUUGUGUCACCUUCGCCACCGAAGAUAUAGUCCACCGUUGCCCAAUCGGAAUAGCGUCCAUUGUGUAUUACGAUGAGUGCAUCCUACGUUACUCUAACGUGAACAUUUUCUCUAAGGUGGAUCAAAGCCCUUCUUUCUCUUUCUCCUUGUUAAACACACAGAAUAUCACAACCGAACCCCAGCGUUUUAACAAUCUAGUGGGAGCCGCCGCGAAUGAUUUGGCUGCUCGAGCUGCAAGUGCUCCUCCAGGUGCUAAAAAGUUUGCCGUGAACAAAACGUCUUUCAAUGCGUUCCAAAAUAUAUACAGCCUUGCCCAGUGCACACCGGAUUUAUCUAGCUCUGAUUGCAAUCGAUGUCUCAGUGCAGCUAUAGCUGGAUUGCCCAAUUGCUGCAGCAGCAAGAUAGGAGGAAGAGUCUUGUUUCCUAGUUGUUAUAUUCAUUAUGAAAUUACUGAAUUUUAUAAUGCAACGGCAGUUGCAGCGGAGUCACCGCCUCCUCCUCCUCCGCCCGUGGUUCUUCCUUCUCCUCCACCUCCUCGUUCAGUGACAAUACCAGAAGGUAAAGUUAUUUUGCACUAUUUAUUGUUUUUGUCAAUAUCUUUAAUCCCCACUCUAACAAAAUCGUUACUAUAGAAUGCACUCGUCGAAAUUUAAAUUUAUCUCUUAAAUUUUUUGGAUGAAAUUUAUUUAUUAAAUUACAAAAUACAAAAUCCUUAAAUUAUUUUGGAAAUUUUUUUUAAUCCUUUUGUAAAUUUUAAAAUUAAGUUGGUUGGUUGGUAUUCUUGAUUCAAAUGUGAUGGUUUUGGCCCAAUUCUUGUAAGGUAUUCUUGCCAUGUGAUCUUACGAUUUUAUCCUCCAAAAGGCAUCUCACAUGUUUGAAAGUCAAUUCCGAGUCCUCUAAUGUGUAUCCCACGCCAUGAAAGUUCAAUCCAAAGAGGUCCAUUCUGGUGUUAGCUCAACAUUUCUUUUCGGAUCCCACCACGUGAUAGUACCUCCAAAAUUGUUAACGAUUUUGUGCGUGUUGUGCAAAACUUACAAAAAAAACAAAAAAACACUUGCAAUAUUUACCAUGUUUGGAUCAAGAAUUGCCCACCUCCAUGAACAAUUUUAAAACAAUCCAUCUAAAUUAAGAAAAAAAAACCUUGCAAGAACAAAUCCCUCAAGUCAAGCCCUCUUAAGAUAAACUUCUCAAAGCUACAACGGAAUCGUCACGAAUAUAGGAAUUCUACACUACAUAUUUUUCCUAGUAGAGAUUUGCGACACGAUUCAACAAUUCAAUUUUUGCUCAUCAAGAUUAAAUCAAUCUCUUUAAUAGUUAAAUAUAGUGUAACGAGACUAGAAAAUUCAUCAGGUUUUUACUUCUUACAUCUUGAACUUAGAUUAACAAAUUAAAAAGAACCUGAGAAAUUAUUAUAGCUCUAGAGACAAAUCAAAAUUGCUCCUUACUCAAAAAACAUUUUAACUAGGCGUUGAUUGUAAUAUUUACUAUAACACAAUUAUCUUUAACAAUUUAUGUAGGGUUAGGUUGGUAAUUUAAUAUUUUUUUCACAGUAAAAAUAUUUAUGUACCCUACAAUUAAAAAUAUAUAUGUUGCUUUUCUCUUAGGAGUGUUUUGGUAUUUUUAAUUUUUUUUUAAAUAGUUAAAUUACUUUUAUACCUUAAAGAUAAAAUAAACAUAACUCUCUCAUAUUGACAUUUUCAUCUUUUUAUUGUGGUUUUUUUUUUAAUAUCAUGUUACUUCAGGGCAUUGUUUUAUUUUCAUAAAUGUUUAAUAUUAAAAAAAUUUUACUAGCACAUGCCAAUAGCUCCUGAGUCCUUUAGGCUGUGUGUGGGGGAUUGCUCGGCCACCAAAUGCUUCUUUCACUAAAAUUGUUGGAAUCAUCAUGAUGCCCCCGAUGUAAUGGUGUGGCUCGUGUUUCAAGAUUCUUAAUGGUUUGGCAUCAAUAACUAUUUUUUCUUCCUUUUCUCUUUCUCCUCACCUAUAUUUUCACGCCAACCCAUUAAUAACUCUAGAACAACCCCUUAAUUUUUUAAUUCUUCAGACUUACCCCUAUUCUUUAUGUUAUAAUUUUUUUUAUUUUGAAUAAUUUCUAAAAUUGGUAUGCCUUUCGAUUUCAUCCCUCUACACUUUUUUUCAUCUUUUAAACUUGAUCACUGUUAUUUUUUUGUUUGAAAUUAUUUUUAAAAAUUUAUUUUGCUUUACAAUUUCAUCCUUCUUUGUUUUUUUUCUUAUCAACUUUAAUCCUCAUUCUUUUGAUUGUCAAUAUUUUUGCUUUGACAAGUUUUUUAAAUUGAUAUUUUUAAUUGGUUCGUAAUAAAAUUCUUAAUUGAACCCGGAUCCAGGAUUUCACAGGAUGCGAGUUUUGAAGAAUUGACCAGGAUAAUAAUGUUUCCUGGGUUUGCUUGGUUUUUUAUUUUUCUUUGUCUAAGUUAAUUUUUUUUCUCAUCUCAUCUUUUAAUAUUUAUUCAAUUGGAGUAUGGGUUAUAUAUUUUUUAGCUUGCUUUCUGCUAAAUUUUUUGUUGGUUUUGAAAAUGACCCAGUUAUCUUGAGCUUUUUAUUUAUCUUUCUUUGUUGAAUUUUUUUGGCUAAUUCUUUAAAUUGAUAUCUUUUUCUGAUUUCAUCCUUAAAUAUUUGAAAUUAUUUUUUAAACAAUUUAUAAGAUUAAAAUUCAUUUUCUAUUUCAUCUCCCUUUAUUUUAUUUUUUUAUCUUUCGGAUUGUAUUCUCACUCUUUUGAUUUCUAUUUGUUUUAUUUGAGAUAACUGUUUUAAUUUAUUUUCUUUCUCUAGGAUUUUUCAUUGAUUUUAAAAAUAACUUAGGUUUUCUCGAGUCUUUUUAUUUGUUGUUCUUUGUUGGAUUUACUUUUGGUAAUCAAUAUUAAAUUAGUUGAGAAUUGAGUUUUUUUAUUCAGCCCGGGUUUGAGAUUUAAAGGGCUGCGAGUUUAAGAUCUUUGCCUAUGUUUAAAAGGUUCGUCUAGUUUUUCUUGGGUUUUUUUUUAAGUUUAUGACUUUUUAAUUUUAUUAUUCAAUAUUUAUAUCAUUAGUAAUUAGACUUUUUAUCUUCAUUAUGAGCCUUCUAUAUGAUUUUUUUGAAUGUUUUUUUUUCGGUUCCCAUAUUUUUGUUUUUAUGUUUUCCAUAUGUCAACCUUUUUUUCAUUGUUGGGUCUAUGGCCCAAGUUACAUUUUUAAAAAAAUAAAAUAAAAAAUGAUUGCCUCAUAAAAUUACAAAUGUUUAUCAAUUUCACUCCUUCCAUUUUUAUUUUUAUUUUGUCUUUUAAAUUUGGUCAUCAUUGUUUUGAUUGUUAUUUGUUUUUUUUAAGAUCACUUUUUAAAUUAUUUUACACACACACACACACACACACAUAUAUAAUUUCAUCCUCCACGAGUUUUUUUUUCCUAUUAUACUUGAUUUUUAUUCUUUUUAUUGUUAUCUUUUUUGCUUUUUCAAGUUUUUUAAAUUAAUAUUUUUUUCAUGAUUUCAUCCUUUAAAAUUAAAUUGGUUGAGAAUUAAGUUUCUUGAUUCAACUCGGGUCUAAAAAUUCAUUAGUUGCGAGUUUUAGAGAUUGGACCACGUUCAGGAGGUGUGCUCGAGUUUCCUUAGUUUUUUUUGUUUUUUUUUAUAAUGUUUUUUAUUUCUUAACCUUUUUUUAGUUUUGCAUUAUUAUUUUUUAUAGUUUGUCUUCUAUGAGAUUAAUCUCCGGUUUAUGACCAGGUUACCGAUUUCAGAGCUUAAUAAGGGUUGACUUUGUUUUGUUUUUUUUUAAAUUGAUUUAUUUUUAUUUUAUCCUUCAAUAUUUAAUUUAUUGGAAAGUGGUUUUCAUACCUUUUUUCCUUUCCUUCUAUUAGUUUAUCUCGAUCAUAUGCCUAUAGUCAUGAAGUUUGCAGGUAAAUCCAGGUUGACUCAUAUCUUUUCUCGUUGCCUUUUUAAAUUAUAUUUUGUUUUUUUAUCCUUCAACAUUGAAUUGUUUGAUAAUUGAGUUUAAUAAUUAUAUUCAAUUUGCUUUUUAAAGUGGUCACUCUAGUAUCACAAUUAGGUCAUAGAUUUUGUAUCAUAACCCUGGUGGGUGCAGAUCGAGUUUUUUCAUCCUUUUUUUAAUUAUCUUUCUUUCUUAAUUUUUAUCCUUCAACAUUUUAUUUGCUGGAGAUUGAACUUCAACUUGUUUCUUUUUAAUUUUCAUUCUUUGAAGUUAUCAUGUUCUCAAUUGAUUUAUUAAGAAUUGGACUUUGAGCUUUUUUUCUUGUAUUGUUUUUAUGAGAUUAUCUCAAUUAAUCUUAUAUCAAUGGUCGUGAAGUUUGCAAAUUAACCCGUUUUAAUGUAGGCUUUUUUUUAAUUAUUUUUUGUUUUGUCCUUCAACAUUAGAGUUGUUUGAUAAUUCAGGUAGACUCAUGUUAGGUUUUUUUUACCUUUUUUCUUUUACUUUUUUGCCAGUUUAUUUAGUGUUGUUGUAUUUUGUUAAUCAUGUCAUUUGAAAUUACUAAUUGAACUAACAACUCAAUUCUAAAAAAAAAAUUCCUUAGCAUUUUUUUCUAGGUUGAAAAAAUAUUUGGCUUUCACGGACAACAGAUCUAGUUUAAAUUUUUCAAAUAAGUUUAUUGAGUAUAUCCAUGUCGUCCAUCUGGACUAUUAAAUUUCAGUAUAAUAGUAAAUGCAAUGGUUUUGAUAACCAUCACUAUUGCACUGAUGUUAUGAAAAGAGGCAUUGGUGCUUUCCCAUGGACUUUGAGAAAGUUUAACCAAAUUGCGAAGGACAUAUUUUGAUAGCAUUUGGUCAUUCCAUGAGAAAGCAAUACUGAACUUAUAACCCUGUUUCUAAUUAUAAUGGAUCCAAAAUAAAAAAAGAUAUUCAUGUUGGAUUGUCAACGUGUUACAAAAGGUUAAUUACUGGCUUGAAAGCUGCUUUUGACUUUAAAUCACGGAAGCAAAGUUAUAAAACCCGGUAAAGUUUAUAAUUCUGUGCAAGACUUCGAUUAUGAGUUGGAUUAGUCAGGUAAAUCUAAACUAGUGUGAUUUCAAAAAUUAUUUUAAGAAAUAUUUUAAAUGAUAUCGAGUUGAAAAAAAGUUUAAAAAAACAAAAAAAACUCAUAAAAAACUUAUUUGGGUUUUAAUUAGAUUAAUCGAAUCACAGGAUAAUCAAGUUUAACAUGGUUAACUCCCAACACGAAUUGAUAUAAAACCUUGUCUAAGCUAAUUACCAAGUCAACGAUUUGACUCACAAAACCAAGCCAGGUUUAUAACAUUUUUACUAAAAAAAAAUUAGUUAUCUAGAAAUAAUUUAUUAUCUUUUGUUCUUUGAAAAAAUGUUUCAUGACAUGGUUAAAUAUUUUCUUUUUUCUAAUUUCUUAAAAAGAAGAAAGAAAGAAAGAAAGAAAAGAGCUCCCAUGUCUUUCACAAAUGGAUUCGUCUCUCUUUGAAUAUGCUUGUAUGUGAAAGUUAAAAGCUUUUAUGAAUUACAACGUGUUUUUGAAUGAUACAUGUUUCUUUAUGCAGAGAAAGGCGGUGUCCCAACAGUUUUAAUUAUGGCCAUUGUCAUUCCCUUCGCUGUUUCUAUCGCGCUUUUUUGCAUGUGUUUCUGUUUCCUGAGGAGGGCAAGAAAGACCAGAGAUUAUGUGCCAGAAAAUGAUGGUAAAGAACAUUAGAAAUCUUUUUUAAUUGGGAAACAAAAAAAAAAAAGGAGAGUCUUUUCUGUUUUGUACUCUGCCUAAUAAUAUUUUCAAACGCUCAAAGGAAUAUCUACUUGUGUUGUGUAGUUGGAGAUGAGAUUACCACCGAGGAGUCCUUGCAAUUUGAUUUGAGUACUAUAGAAGCUGCCACGAACAAUUUUUCCGCUGAUAACAAGUUAGGUGAGGGAGGAUUUGGUGAGGUUUACAGGGUAACCAAUUCGUAAAGAAUUUAAAUUUUCAAGAACAGGAAAUACCUUGUUGCAUUAGGAUUUAAAAAUCCCUUGCUCAACCAUCGGUGAAAGUGCUUUCUCAGGGAACACUUCCUAAUGGACAGCAAAUUGCUGUGAAGAGGCUAUCAAGAAAUUCUGGACAAGGUGCAGCAGAAUUUAAGAAUGAGGUUGUAUUGGUAGCCAAGCUUCAACACAGGAAUCUAGCGAGGGUGCAAGGAUUUUGCUUGGAAGGAGAAGAAAAGAUUAUUGUCUAUGAAUUUGUCUGCAACAAAAGCCUUGACUACUUUCUAUUUGGUAUUUAUUGAUGAUUUUCUAAAUGUUCUUCUCAUUGCCUUUUAGUACGAGAAAUGCAUAUUUGCCUCUAGGAAUAUAGUCGAUUCUUCGUAAUCAGGCACAAUUGUCUUUGAAACAGUUGAUCUGCACUCUGACUUGAAGGUUCUGUUUUCUUGAUUUUAUAGACCCUGAAAGGCAAGGACUGUUGGACUGGUCCAGACGGUACAAAAUAAUAGGAGGCAUUGCUCUAGGAAUUCUUUAUCUUCACGAGGACUCUCGGCUACGAAUUAUACAUCGUGACCUCAAAGCUAGCAAUAUUCUGCUAGAUGGAGAUAUGAACCCCAAAAUCUCAGAUUUUGGCAUGGCUAGGAUUUUCGUAGUUGAUCAAUCUCAAGCAAGUACAAUUAGAAUUGUUGGAACAUAGUAAGUUUGGAUCUAAUUCCCAUUGAUCAGUAAAUUCAUCUGCUGACAGAGUGCUUUCAUUUCGUUUUUUCUAAUCAUUUCUCCGUUUCUCUUGUUUGUAGUGGUUAUAUGUCCCCAGAAUAUGCGAUGCAUGGGCGUUUCUCUGUCAAGUCUGAUGUCUAUAGCUUUGGUGUCUUAAUCCUUGAGAUUAUAACCGGAAAGAAGAACAGUUCUUUCUAUCAAACUGGGGGUGCUGCAGACCUUGUGAGCUAUGUGAGUACAAGUUUUUCUCUCUUGAAAGCAGAUAGCAUAAGAUUUAGCAACUUUUGACCAUUCAAUUUUCUUUUUCCAGGUUUGGAAACAUUGGAGAGAUGGGACACAAUUGGAAGUGCUGGAUCCAACUCUGACAGAUACAUAUUCAAGAAAUGAAGUAAUUAGAUGCAUCCACGUUGGAUUGUUAUGUGUUCAAGAAGAUCCAGCUAUCAGACCCGCAAUGGCAACAAUUGUUCUCACACUCAAUAGUAACUCGGUUACCUUACCAUCACCGCAAGAGCCUGCUUUUUUUAUCCAACCAGAAAAUAAAAAUUGAUUCAUUUUGAAUCUUGUUACUUUUUUAUUAAGCUCAUUUUCAGCUUAAGGAGUGCUUUAAUUUCUAUGCAAUGGGAAGAUGAAGAGACGUACGUGUAAUUACACGAAGCCAAGAUUACGCGUAAUGCUACUUUAGAAUCUUUUGAGCUGAAAAUGUUUGUUUGACCGGUAGUUCCAAUCAGAGUUGAUGGAAAUAAAAGAAAACGAAAGGAAAAGGGUCUUUUUUUUUUUUCAAAGUAAGACAUUUGGAAGUAUCAUGUUUAUGAAAUGUGAUUUAGUGAAAUUUUAAUUCUUUUAUUUCAAGCAGUUAAUUAGUUAGAUGCAAUUUUACUAAUUGGUUGACUAUUUCUUAUAACAAUUAUAAUUUUAUAAAGUUUUUUUAAAUAUAUUUUAUAAAUUAAAAUAUAAAUUUUUAUUUAAUUUACUAUUUUUUAAAAAAAAUUAUUUAAUAUAUUUUUAAAUAAAAAUCACUUUAAAAAUAAGCUAUUUGUAAAAACAACAUAUAAAAACUUAUCAAAAAGCAUAUUCCUUCUUGCCGUCAUGAAAGAAUGGCAAAAGGGUCACUUAUCAUGAUGAAAAGAAGUCGUAGUUAACUAGUUGGAUGCUUACACUACGAGGGUUUAUUUUAUAUUUUUAUAAAAAAUUCUAUAAAAAAUUAUAAUAUAAAAAUUAAUAUUUUUUAAUAUUAAUAAUAAUUUUAUUUUCAAAUUUAUUAAUAAUAACAGAUGAAGUGAACAUUUCAAGCAAGGAAUUUAUUUUCGAACAUUCUAAAAGCAAGUCUGUUGCUUAUUCUGUAGAUGAAGAUUCAAUUACUGAAGUAUAUCCUCGAUAGGGAGUAUGUGUAUUUUCUCUAAAAUAAGAAUAGGAAAAAAAAAAUGAGGUUAAUUUUUCAGCACCAAACACUUUAAAAUUGUGACUUAUUUACACACACUUAUAAUUCUGAAUAUAUUGGCUCUUAUCUUUAUAGGAAAAUUAAUCCUUUAAUUUUCAUAAUCUAUUAAGAAUUCUAACUAACUAAUUAAAAAUUCUAAUUAACUAGUCUAACACAAAUCUCUUUUUUUUCCUCAAGGAUUCCUACCUACACAAUGAUUAUAACGAUUAUCUAACAAUCUCUCAUUAAACUUGAUCUUUCAUCCUUUUAGAAGCUCUGUUAAUUCUCUAGAAUUGUUUUUCUUAAUAAUAACAAUUUUAUCAUCCAUAAACUUUUGUUACUUUAUUUCUUUUAAAGUGUUUUCAGAAGUCAUUGGAUCACACAAUGAGAAUAAAGCAAAAUAAGUAACUGGAUCAUCAUAUUAAUUGAUUUUAGUUGCCUCAUAAUUAUUCAUCCAUGUAGGUCUUUUUGUAGCAUGUUCUGAUCGUUGAUAAUUAUUUGUUGAUGUUAUCAAUGGGACUUGAUUACCUAUUAACUAUUGUGAUUUUUUCAUAGGCCUCUUCUUUUUCUCAUCAUUAAGUUUCUUUAUAUCUAAAGCAACUUGUUUCAACUCUUUUUCUGCUUUUUUUUUUUUUCUCUCUAAGAGAAGUAAUAUGUUGAAGCUCACUUCUCUUUUCUAAUUAACUCAAAGACUUUCUCUUAAUUCCUUAAAUAGCUUUCUAUCUCUUCAUGCCUUUUAUAAAUAUUGCUUUCCAAUUCCUUAUUUUGCAUCUCAAUGACUAACAAGAAGUCUACAUAUUCCUUCUAAAUCUUGUUUGAACAAUUCAGAAUGUUCGUGCUACAUUUUAUAUCUGAAAUCUUCAUCCUUACGAUUAAGUGACUCAACAUCUUGCAUAUGUUGAUCUUGUAUUUCUCUUUUCUCUAGUUUAAGGCUAUCAUGUUCAUUUUUGAGUAACCUAAAAAUAAUUUAUCUCUCCUCUAUUACAUGUUCGACUUCAUUUCUUAGCUCUUCAUUUUUUUAAUUGAUCAACUCUCACUCAGAUUCAAAAUCAUAUUCAUCCCGAUCAAUAAAAGUAAAGCCUUCUUUUCUCAUUAGCAUUAACAUCACAAAACUUGUUAAAUCUUGAUAAGAUUCAUCUAAACUAGAGAAGAUUGAUUUAUCUGCACUCAUGUGAUUGCUAUACCUGGUGUCUAAAUACCAUAAAUUUUGAUGAUAUUUCUUAUUUAUAUGCAAGCCAUCAAUAAAGACAUUUUUUCUUUCUUUAAUGUAAAAUUAGAUUUACCAUCAUUUCUAUUCAAAUUAGCAUGACAUUUAGAUUUGUAAUGUCAAUACCUGUGACACCUGAAACAUUUAACCUUUGAUUUGUUCAUUGGCUUUGGCUUGUAAAAAGUUAAAUGAUUAUUGUCAUAUUUUUUUUUCCUUGUUUGAGAAUUAGAAGAAUGAUUAUCUUUAAAUUUCUGAUGUGAAAAUCUACCAUUAUUGUUGUUUGUUCUCCUUCCUCUUCUUUCUCCACCUAAAAAGUGAUUAUUAGAUAAAACUCCUAAAGCUUGCUCCUUCUUAUCUUGUUGAUUCAACUUUUUCUCAUGAAUUAGCAAGGAACUUUGCAAUUCAUCAAUAGAAAGUUCAUCAAUAUUCUUAUCUUUUUUAAUUUCUAUUGAACUCAUAAUAAAAUUGAAUUUUGGUGUCAAUGAUUGAAUAAUUUUUUUAAUGAUGGUAAUAUCCCCUGUUUUAUUGUCAUGGAUUUGCAUCUUGUUAAUUAUUUCCAUUGUUCUUGAAAAGAAGUCUAUGACUAACUCUCCCAUAUUCACCCUAUGGAAUUUGAACUUUUUUCGAAGUGCUUGAAGUUAUUGCCUUUUUGCUCUAGUGUUUCCUUCGUACUUUUUUCUCAUCAAAUCCCAAAUAUCCUUAGAGGUUUCUUUAUAAAGAAUGUUUCCAACAUUGAUUGGUCAAUCUAUUGGAAAAAAAAUAACUUUUUUUCCUUGAAAUCUUUCGAUCAUUGCACUUCUAUCUUUGUUUUUUACACAUUUGUUAUUAUUGAUCUGGAUGGUAAUUCAAUUAUUUCUUGAGAAACAAUUUGUCAAUAUUCCUUAGGUCUUAAGAAGUUAUUAUUAACAUACUACAAUGAUCAUAAUUAAUGGACAUCAAAAUGUGGAAUGGAUGGUUGAAUAAAAUUAUAGAAGCCAUGAUUAGAGACUCUUUUCUACUUCUACUAUUAUUGGAGGCUAACUUGCUACUUGCUAGUUGGAUACUAAUUGUUGGAAAUUUUUGGUGCUUCAAAAGAGCUUUUUUCUUGCUGCUGCGAAGAGUUUAUCUUACUUGGUCUCUAAUCAAUCUAAGCUCAAAUAUCAAUUAUCAAAAAUUAAAACACAAAAGUAUUUGGAUGAACCUCCCAAAAUUUAUUAACCAACUCACACUCAUCAACACACUUAUAAUUUUGAAUACAUUGACCAAGGAUUCUAAUUAAGUAGUCUUACAUAAAUCUUUUUUUUUUAAUUAAGGAAUCCUACGUAAAAUAGGAUUAUAACUAAUAUCUAACAUUCAUGUCAUGGUGUGCUAUCAUGAUUAGUAGUUCACUAGCUACUACUUGAUGAAUUGACAUAAUGUAUAACAAAAGAAAGAAAUAUGAUUUGUCAAGUUUUAAAAUUACAACCUUAGAACCUAGAGAAAACUAUGUUUGAUAUGUUUUAAAAUUUAGUAAUUUAUAAAAUUGUUUUGAAAAACACAUCAACUAUUUAUAUAAUGGCUAAACCAACCUAGACUAUAAAGGAAAUUCAAACCAAAAUUAACUAGAAAAAUAAAUAAAUAAAUCUAAAAAUAACAAGAAAAAUCAAGAAAAUUCCUAGACAUUAUCUUUUAGGUAAAAUUUGAACAUGUUCACCAUCUUAACUAGUGCUUAUCAACCAAUCUUCAUAAGGAAUAAGGACAGUAGACACUAUCAGAAUUUUUAUAUUUACCGACAGAAUUUUCCAUCGGUAUUUGUACUAUCAUUUCGUUGGCAAUUAAUUUACCGACGGGAUCAUAAACAGAAAUGCUCCGUCGAUGAAUCUCUUGUUGAUAAUUUUUUGUCUGUCGGUAAGUCUGUCAGUAAUAAAAAAAAAUAUUAUUACCGAUGGAUUUUCUGACGGAAAAAGUACGCUAAAAAAAUUAUCCGCUUCAUUCUGUUAGUAUUUCCCUCGAGAAGCUUGUCAUAUAACUGAUAAAAAUACCGUAUGCAAUUCCUUCGAUAAUUAUUUAAAAAUAUUUUUUAAAAAUCCAUUUAAAAAAACUAGAAAAUAAUUAAAUUAAUAUAAAUCAACACUCCAUAAUACUCAGAAUUGAGUUGCUUGAAAAAAAAAUCAACUCAAACAAAUUUGCAACAAAUAAAUAACAUAAAAAAAUAAACAACAAUAAUAAAUAAAUAAAUCAACUAAAAAUAAUUUCAUAUGAAAAAAACGAAGUUGUGAUUGCUAAAAAUUUAAAAAUCCUAUAAAUAAAUCAACUAAAAAUUGAUCUCAUAUGAAAAAAGAAAAUCCUACAACAACAUUCAUACAAUUAUUAAGAACACAAAAAUUUAAAAAUAAAAUAAAAUAAAAUAACAAAUAUAAUGAAAAAACAAACAGAAAAAAUUAAAGAAGAAAAAAAAUCUUACCUUAAUAUAGUUGCGAGUGAAGAUGAGAAGAGGAAAAAAAACAAAUUCAUAAAGUAUGUUUAUUAAAAAAAAACUGAGAAAAGAAAAAAAGAAAAGAGGAGAAGACAUACUUGAGCGUGGAGGAGAAGAGAAGGAGUUGAGGAGAGAAGAGAGGAGAAAGAAAGAAAGAGAUGUUGAUGUUUUUCAUAUAAUAAUAAUAAUAAUAAUAAUAAGAAGAAGAAGAAGAAAAAGAGACUCGUCUGUUGUGAAAUUAGGGAUUCUAGUCUUUUUAUUGGGGCAUUUUACCUACGGAUAAUUAAAUAUUAAUAUUUUUAAUUAUUCCGUAGGUGAUUCCAUUUGUAAUAUUUAAUUUAAAUUUUCAAUUUAAUCGAAAAGUUUCAGAAACAGUCAAAUAUCACCGACGAAUUUUCAAUCCAUUGGUGAUUCUGUCUGAAAUAUUUAAUUUAAGUAUUCAUUUUAAUCAAAAAAUUUCAGAAACCCGCCAAAUAACACUGAUGACUUUUCAAUUCAUCGGUGAUUUUGUCUGUAAAAAACAGUAAUUAACAGUGCAAUUGAGAAGUGAACAGUUUCACAGCUCUUUGGAAAAUACGUAUAGAAUUUAUCCAUCAGUGAUUCCCUUUGUAAUUGACAUGAUGAACAAUGCUACGGAGAAGUGAACAGUUUACCAACGAGUUUAUGGACGAAUUUUGCCGGUGGUAUUAAUACCGCGGUAAUUCUAUUGAUAUAAAUAACACGUCAUCGUAUUUUUUAGUUUUGUUUUAAUUCUUUUUUUUUUCACUGUAAUUCCCUCGGUAUAUGUCAAUGGAAUAUUUCUAUCGGUAAAAUUCACUACAAUUUAUCGAUGAAAACAUUUCGUCAGUAAUUAUAUUUGUAUUUAUCAAUUUUCUAGUAGUGAGAACUUUAUAUCAAACUUUCAACUUGAUAAAUAGUUAUGCUAUGCUUUUGUUAGAAAUCUCCUUUUAACAUAGCUAAACGUUUUUGGAUUUGUUCUUGUUUAUUUGAUUUAUGAAUAUAUCCACCAGAGAUUCCACGUCAUGUAUAUUGUUUUAAAUUCCGAUAUUAAGGGUAUGUAAUCUAGCUGGUUGUUUUAUUACAAAAUCAUAACCAACUAAAAGCAUACUAGAGGAAGCUAAAAUACUGUAAAUAAAAUUAUAUUUGAAUUCGCAAGUGUCAACUAAAACUAAGUUUCUUUUCGGACCAUUUUAAGAGUAUUUUCACGUUGGUUUUAUGUAUUCAUAGUAAUUUAAUAAAUUCUCUUAAAUAUUGUUAUCCAAGACUUAAACUAAAGAUUAAAAUCUUUUAACUUAAUCAUCCGUUGAACUUCUCGAGAUUAAAAUAAUGCACUCAGAUACAUACAAAAUUUAAAUUUAAUCGGUAAAGUUACUUAAUCUAAAUUUAAUUUAAGUUUUUGUUUUGCUAGAUUUUAAACAGAUGAAAAUAUUAAUGAAAAAUGUAUUUCUCACCAUCUUUGUCUUUGAAUUAAAAUCCAUGGUAAUAAUUGUUGUUACCUAUUUUUGGGUUCCCAUAAAAAAAAAUGAGAAAAUACAAAAAAUAUCAAAAAAAUAUUCAAAAGAAAUCCAAAAAAUAAUAGGAGCGAGAAAAGGAUGCUGGAAUGCCAAAAAAAUGCCAAAAUUGGUUGAAGAAGUUCAAAAAUACAAAAGGUUAAAAUUUGACAGUAUAUUUUUUGACAGAUGAGAGCCUUGUUGACAAAGAAAAUUCAAGUUGAGGAAGAAAAGUCUAAAAUCAGAUAUUUAUGGACUCAAUUAAAUUUUAUCUAAGGUUUAAUUGAAUUUAUGGAGGGUUGGAUUGUAAGAAAAAUUGAUUUUUAAGUCAAUUUAGGCUUUUAUUGGAAGAAAUUAAAGUUCUGGGGUUCCAUUAUAAUUUAGAAGAGUUGAUUUGAUCAAAGCAGGGGCUUAAUUGCAUAAUUAUUGAAGUUUGUUGGCCAAUUAGGGACUUAAUUGAAAUAAUCCGAAACCAAGGACCAAACCGGAAAAGACGCUACAAUCAAGGGCUCCAAUUACAACUUUUCCGGGGGGCUUGAUUACAAGACUGUAAAAAUAUCCAAGGACCAAAUCAGAAAUAUCAUUUAAAGUGGCAAAACGUUGCCGUUUCAGAGGCACUAUUCAUUGUCUUCUUCACCGAUUCAGCAAAAAGGAACCGUUUCAGCAACAAAUGCCGCUGAUUAUGGGGAACGUUUCACAGCUACUAUCUCUCUACCGUUACCACUGCAAUAAUGGUCCCGAACGUUUUCAUUAUAUAUAUAUAAAAAAAAACGCAUACAGUUUUGGCUAUAAAAGGAGAGAAAAAGGACGAGACUAGGGAGGAGGAAGGGAGGAGACGGGGCAGAGGAGAGAAAGUAACGAGAGAAGAAAGAAAAAAACAAAAAACAAAGGGAGAGGGGAACGUAAGGAAGAGAAAACAGAGGGAGGAAAAGCUUAAGAAACUAAAGAGAAGAACCCGAGGGGGGCGAAAAAGAACGGGAUAAACAAAAAAAAAACAGGGAGAGGGGAAAUGUAAGAAACGAAACAAGGCAGAGAAGGGGAAGAACUGAGCAACACAGGGAGACGAAAACAGAGGAGAGGGUGAGUAUAAGAAACGAAAAAAGCAGAGAAAAAGAAAAGACGAAACAGAGGGAGCACAAGAGAGAAAGGGAGGGAAUACAGAGGAGAAAGAGAGAGCGUACAGGGGAGAAGAGAGUUUAAAAAAAAAAAAACAGAGGAGUAAUAGAGGAGAUUACAGAGGGGAGCAGAGGACGAAGAGAGGAGAAACAAUGGCGUCUCUGCAACGGGGAAGAAGAAGAAAAAUAGUAGCGCUACCGGGCUUCUCAGCCACCACCAUAGCCGGCUGCCGCGACACCAACGCCACCACCGUGAACGACAGCGCCUCCAUUCCAGGUAACACUCUUCUCCUUCUUCUCUUCUGCCCGGUUGGUCUCUUGCAUGCAGAACGUGUGCUGCUCACGUUGCUGCAGCAAGGAAGAAAAUUAACCGGUUACUGUGCAUGCUCACAGUAACCGGCUAAUUAUAAUUAGCGCGGCACAGUAACCAGUUCAUUGUUUGUUUUGGGUUGGAACAUUGGCCAGCCGGAAAAAAAAUUCAAAAAAAUUAUUUAAAAUAAAUCUGUGAUUUUCUGUAAAUUUGUUACUGCAUUUUGAUCAAUAUCAGUUUGUAUUUUUAUAUUGUAAAGAUAUAAAUCCGGUAUUAAAAUACCUUAUUUUUUUAUCAAGACAUCAAAAAAAUAAAAAUAAAAAUGUUUUGUUUUCAUGCAUACGGUUAAGUCUCUCAAAAAUAAAAAAAAUAAAAAAAUCAUAUUUUAUUUUCAUACAACAAAGGAAAUUUUAAAAAAUAUAUAUUAGCAUGCAUUUUGGCUUUAAUAACCAGUUUAUUAAAGUCAUGAGGACUAGGCCAAUAUUUCAAAAAUUCUAAAAAAAAUUAUUUUUUUUCUUUUAAUAUCUGGGGUUACGACCAUGGUUGUUAAAAAUGCGUUUUAACUCGUAAACUCGUCCGAUUUUACGAGUUAAAACACAAAAAACGUGUAGAAUCGGGGUUAAAACUCGAAAACCAGCAAAAUCGGGUUGACUCGGUCAAACUCGCAAAAAAACAGGUUGACUCGGUAAAAACGUAAAAAACGUAACGAUUCCACGAGUUAAUAAAAAUUUUCACUUUCACACCGUUUCACGCCUUCACGCUCACAGUUUCACUUCACCAAAAGGCAAAUGCAGAGUUGCAAGGGCAGACAAUUAGAAAUGCAAAAUUGCAAAGCACCAGUCUCUUUCCAGUUUCCAAGUCCCCAUCUCCCACUCUCCCCGUCUCCCUGACCUGACUCCUUUUCCCUUUCCCCUUCCCCCUUUCCCCUUUUCACUUUCCCCAGCAAUUUAAGAAAUCAAUUUCCCCCAAUCUGGAGCGUUCUUGGCGAGACGAAGGUAAGAAUUGAUUCCCAGUCCCAAAGCUUUGUUUUUUCUGUCUAAUGGUGGUGAUUAGAGACAAAAAUUAUCUAGGUAUUUUGUGAAUCUGAGUUUAUCUUCUGGGUAUUCUACUAUUACAUGAUUUGCUGCUGGGUAUUUUUUCGGAGGAGAAGUGGUGCUGCGCUGCUCUGUAUUCACCUAUGCUCUGUUUCAUCUUGCAUUCUUGCUUGCUUUGGUGUUGCAGAUUCUGUAAUUUUGCAUAAACAACGAAGCAACGAAGCAGAUUUCCAGGAUUGCACUCUUGUCAAGGUCACUUUCCAUUAACUUUAACUAAGCUUCUUAAUUAUAUGUAAUUUGUCUACGUAUUCUGUGAAUGUGUUUAAUUGCUUGCUUGCUGUUUUUGUGUGUUGUAAUUUCUUGUAAUUAAGCUUCUUGAUUCUCGGUUCUCAAUGUGUUAAGGUCAGUCUUGGAUUGGAAUGCCUUUUGCAGUGCUUCUGUUGCUUUUUUGUGAAUUGUAAAUCGUUAGAUUACAUGUUGUCACCUGCCAUACUUCUGUAGUUUAAAUACUGGGAAACAAACAUUUCAAUUCCUUUGGCAAAAAUUUUACUUCCGAUUUUACGAUUUUACGAUUCGAGUUUACGAGUCGAGUUUAUAUUGCAUGUUCCGUGUCGUGUCAAAAAAGCGUUUUUGACAACCUUGGUUACGACCUUAUACGUAAGACGUAUUCUGGAUAUUAAAUUUUUUUGUUGACGUCAGAAUUACCCGAUAAGAUAAGGAUCUCCUUACUGAGGAGAAUAUUUCUUAAACCAUAGACGAACCAACAAUCAGAAAAUACGACAAGACCUUAGAUUUUAUCAGACAAUAAAACAAUGCAGCUUACUUUAGGUAGGACGUAUUUGGGAUGCUAAUACCUUCCCUUUACGCAACCAGUCCCCGUACCCGAUCUCUGAGACCAAUUAGGGUUCCUAGUAACCAAAAUACUAGGUGGCGACUCCCAUUCCAUUUUUCCACUAAUAAAAAACAAGAAUUCCUUAUCUCCCAACAUUUGCCACAUUUAGAUACGAAUAUUAAGGGUGGAUGUUUUCGCCACGACGCCGCACACGUGCGACAAUAAUUGUACACACAUAUUUUUUUUAAAAAAAAACAAGGAAAAAGUGUAGCUUGAGAGCUUUAUGGUAGAGAUUCAAUGCUUGAAGAGAACUUGUCUCUCUAUCCUGCUCCUCUUUAUACAGUUAAAGCCCUCUAUUUAUGGAGGUAUGGAGGAUUAGAAUUGAAAAUUUGUGGGUGGAAAAUAUCAUAAUAAUAAUUUAUGUAAUUAAUAAAAUUAUGUCAAAUAUUGUUUUAGUGACACUUGAUAAACUUAGAAUAUAUAGUUAUUAAAAAAAGAUUUAGGUGAUCCCGUAUAUGGAAAUGAAUAUUUUAUUUAAUUAUCAUAAACAUAAGAUCCACUUAACCCAUAAUUUUAAAAUUACAAGGACCAUCUUGCUAUAAAUUCGAUAGUUUGUGGUAGAAAUAUUUUCGAUCCUACAAUAACGCAGAGAAAAAAAUCUCCUCAAUAAUUCGAAACAAGACUGGAAUGCUGACUUCCUCAGAAGUAGAAUGGAAGAGAUGGAGAACCCAAAAAUUAAAAGACAAACUAAAUUUAUAGAGUGAAGUUUUAAAUGGGCCAAUUCUUUAAUUCUUUUUUUGAAGGCCACUACUAUCCAACAUGGAGAAACCCACUCUAUGAACUUGCCAUCAGUUCUGGGCUUUGGGCCAAAUCUGAAGGAUCUCGAGUUCAAAAUAAAUUUAGUUGGGUUAACAAGCCCAAGUUCUACCACAUGUUUUAAAAGAUGUGGAUGACAUUUGGUGUGCCCUUUAUUUUUUUUAAGAAGAGAAACAAAUAACGCAUUGCGUGGUAGAAAAAAAAAAAAAUACAAUGGCAAAGUUUUUUUUAGAAAAUUUAUUUUUCAAUCAAUUUUCAUAUAUAAAUAAAAAUACUUAAUAAACACCAUAAAAGCUUUUCUAAAUUAUUUAAUUACACUAAAACACACCAAAAUAACCCAAAACAAGUAUGAAAAUCAACCAAACAAAAAAUCUUUAAAUUGAGCCCAAUCAAUUUUUACAAGUAAGAUAAAGAUUUGAAACCAGCACAAUCGAAUCUCUAUUGUUAAAUAGAAUUUAUCGACACUAUAAACAAUGAGUUUCUUUGUUGAAAAAUUGCUAACCCAAUAAUGUUUUUUUUUCUAGCUAUUUCCAGUGAAUUUCUCUCACAUCUCUUUAAUAUAGGGACCGAAUAAUGAACAAGAUGAACUUUAGAAUCCAAAUAGAAAUUGUAGUGAAUUUAAAAUAGGCCAUGUAUUUUCACUUUUUUUCAUGUAGUUCUCUAUUUCUUAAUUUUUUAUUUUUAUGAUAAUUUAAAAUAUAAUUUUAUUUAAUUAGGCUAUAAAAAGAUUCCAUUAAAAGAAAAAAAUUAUUGAAAAUGAAAAAAAGAGAAGGCAAGAGCUUUAUUGUUUAAAUAAAGAAUGAAACCGACGUUAGUUGGUUUAAUUGUUUUUAUAAUUCUAUCCAAAGACUCUUUGAAAAUUAAUUAAAUUAAAGACUUUUAGCUUUCUUUUUAUGUAAUAAAAAAUAGAAGAAGUCGGAGUUUGGUACCCCUCCAAAGGUAACCCUUUGGUGUUUAUAGCAUUAGGUUCCUGCGAGAAGGGUAUAAAUAUAUUAAAUGGCUAGGGGUUGUGGCAAGGGACUAAAGUCCGGUUUGAAGCUACUGUUUAAGAUUCCAUUUUAAAUAGAGGUUUGCUAAAAAUUUAAAUUUUUUUUUCUUAAAAUUAUUUUUUUAUGUGUUUUUAUUGUUUUGAUUUGCUAAUGUCAAAAAUAUAUUUUAAAAAUAAAAAAAAUAUUAUUUUAAUAUAUUUAUGAACAAAAAAAUAUUUUAAAAAAUAACUACUAUCAUAUUUUCAAACACUCCAAAAAACAAAUAACGGAAAAACCUAAAACUAUGCACUAAUAUUGAUAGAAACAUGUUUUUAUCCUAUUUAUCUUAUAACCCAUAACUAUAUAUAAAAAGCAUAAAUAUUACAUAAAAAUAGUUGAUUUAACUAAAUUGUAUUAAUUUUAUAACUAAAAUAGGAAUUUUAAUAUGGAUUUUUUUUUGUUUUUUUCAUAUAAAGCUAAUAAUUAAUAAUUUAAUUAACUUUUCCUUUUUUCAUAAAAUCUAAUUAUUAGUAAUUGUACUCAUUCCAUAUCUAAUUAGGAAAAAGACUAAAACAACAAUAUAUAAUUUCUUAACACUAUUUAAUUUCGUUUUUUAUAUGCCAACACAUGCAUUAUACAAAAUCUUAAAUAUUAUUAAAAAAAAAACCCUCUUAAACCAUCCCUAACCUAUAUACUACAUCAUUUAAAAUUAACAAAACUGUGAAAAUACUUUAAAACAUGUCAUUGAAGGAUCUAUUGUAAAGAAAUAUUAAUUUAAUAAAAUUUAGCAAAUUAUUAAAUUAAUAUUUCUUUACAAUAGAUCCAUCUUAUGUUGUUGAUUGCAAGAAAGAAACUCUCUCUCUCUCUCUCUCUCUCUCUCUCUCUCUAUAUAUAUAUAUAUAUAUAUAUAUAUAUAUUACCUUAUAAUCUAAACCAAGUGGGAUUUUUACCAUGCAUUUUUUACUGUUCAUCCUCUCACAUUUUACUAUGGAUGGACUGUGCAAAAUUUUAUAUUUUUUUCAAUUUGGUCCUUAAAUUUUUUUAGGCGAUUUAAUUCUAUUUAAGGAGCAAUUGAUUUUAAAUUUUUAUGAAAGGGUGAGAUUGGAAGAGGGGAUACCGAAAUGAAAAACAUGGCAAAUAUGAGUGGCGUACUAUAAGUUUUGAAAAAGAUGCACUUGGUUCUCCAACUUAAAUAAUUAUGUAAAUUAUACAAAUUUGAUCCCUCGAAAUUGUUCCAAUUCCAUUUUGGUAUAAAAUUUUAUUCUUGUUAUUUUUUGGUCCUUAGUUGAGAGAGGAGAGAAAUAGAUCGUUGGAUUUCAGCGAUAGAAAAAAAAACAUGUCGUUGACAUCGAUUUAGACCACCAACAUGGGGGUAUUUGUGUUAAAUUGUUUCAUUUGAUGAGGAGGGGUUCCUACUAGAUGUUUUUAUACCUUAAAUGUUCUUGAAAAAACAGAACUUAGCUCGAGUUGAUUUUUAGUUUUGGGUUGAGUUCAGUUUUUAGGGUAGUUUUUUGAGGUCAUUGAUAGGUUUAUCAUGAUUUUCUAAGGUGUUUUGGGUCAAAAACAGGUUGCAAAACAGGUUUUUAAGUCAAAAAAACAUAAACCCCGAUUUUCCAGCCACCAUAAUGGCUGGAAUCUGGGCAAAACAGGCGACGGGGUCGUUUGCCUCAGCAUGCGACGCAUCGUCUGUUUCUUUUUUAAAAAAAAAGGCGGACGCACAGAUUAAAAAAAAGGUCCAGUCGCGUGGGCCUUGGUGAAAUGGGCUAAACGGGCUGGCCUGACCCUUUUUUCCCUAUUUUUUGAAUUUCAAUUAAUGCGUUUUUUAUUUUCUUAAAAAAAAUUAUUUAUAUUUACAUAAUACAUUUUUUCUUUUUUAUUUUGUUUAGAGAGCCUCUUUUAAAUAAUGAUGAUUUUUUGGUUAUGCGUUUAAUUUUUAAAGAGGUUUUUUUAUUCAUUUAUGAUUUUUUUUAUCUUUUUUAUAGAUAAACUAUGUUUAUAAAAAUAAAAAAAUAUUUAUUUUCAGAUGAUAUUUCUAAUAUGUGUAGCCGUACAUAUUAUUCUUGUUUUUUUUUAUUCAAUCAAUUUAACAUGUUUGUCUAUUUUUAUUAUCGUUUGAUUAAAUAAAAAAUAUUUUAAUAAACAAAAAUUAGAAAACAUGAUCGGUUAAAUGUCCUAUCUUGCGAGAUUAAAUAUCUUAAUCUAUAUUUGUCUCUUGGUUUUUCAAGUUUUGUUUUUAGACGUCAUUAAUGAUUUUUUUAUUUAUUCAUGAGCACAUAUAGUUUUCAAUUUAUUUGAUUACAUGUGUUCAUAAACUUUUUGAUUUGUUAAAUUUUUUGAAGUACAAAAAUGCAUUGAAAAAAUAUGCAUAUAUAAUAUUUUUAUGAAAAAUAAAAAUAUUUGACCUGCGGCAGAGCGCGAGUUACAUAAGUAGCGUGUUUGUGUGUAUGUGUGUGUGUAUAUAUAUAUGUUAUGUAAUAUAUAAAUUUUUUUCUUAUAAAAGCAUGACUUAAAUAAUAUUGUUCUGAUUUUUAAAUAUGCUUGUAAUAAAUUUUUUUUUUCCUGAAAUAUCAAAUAUGAACUUAGCAAAGGGUCCAAAAUAUUGAAAGGACUAUAGUUGUUACUUCAAAGAAUAUUACACCGGUUGUAUUGUCAAUUAUCAAGUUAUAAUUUCUGUAUUAAAAUAAUAAUUUAUUUGCACUUUAUUUAAACAAUGUAAUGAAACUACUAUUUAAUUUUCCUAGAAAAGAAAAGGAAGUUAUCAGUCUAACAAGAAUAUUUUGUUUAUUAAAAGUGAACUAAUAGGUAAUUUUAAAUAAUGUGAAAAGAAGAUAUCUAACAAUAUGUUUCUAUUAAAAAAUUGCUAUUUUUAACCAUUAUUAUAGAGUGUAUAUUAUUUAAUUAAUUAGUAAAAUGAUACAUAAUAUUAAAUGAUUUUAAUUAGUUAUUCUAAAGUAAAGAUUGCGCUCGAUCAAUAAGUGCCAGUGCUAAUUAAUCCUCUCUUGUAGAAAAGCUUGAUAUUGACUUUUUUUUCAAUGACUUCAAUCUCCAGUUUUGCUAAGCUGGCUAAAGCCGAUAAGAGAUACAACUUUCUUUCUUCCACCGUGAGGCCUGCUAGCUAGCUGAUCACCCAAAAGAUGAAAAUUCUCUCAAAUUCUACAUUUAAUGCAUUCUUUAUAUGUAUAAAAAUUCAUAAUAGCAAAACAAAAUGUUUAUACUUUCAUCUAAUUAAUUAAAUAUUUGAUAAAUAGACUAAGAUAUUUAUUCCACUAAUACAAGUCAUAUACUUAGUUGUUAUGUGUAGUAAUCAUGUUUCUUAGAAUAUUUUUUUUAUUUGAUGAAGUAACCACUUGCGUCAAUAAAAAAUAAAUAAAAAUUAUAAAUCAAUAUGAAUGACGAAACUGAAAUAAAAAUACUAACUUAAAUAGCAAUGAAAAAUCUCGGGUCAAACCAUGUAAAACUUGGCCAAUUAUUUUUUUAUUAAUAUUUUACAUGUUUUAUUUUUGUUUCUUCUUAGGUAGGUACAUUGAUCUUUUCUUGACUUGGUUUUCACGACCCUUGUACAUUUGAAAAGUCAGUUACACCAGCAUUUUAUCCAAACACAAGUACGCCUAUAACUCCAUUAACCUGCCCAGAUUUGAUUUGGAUUACUUGUUUAUAAAUGACGUGGGCCAGCUAACGAUACAACGACAAGUGGCUUGUUGGCAACAAUCAUGGCAAAGAUUAGAAUCUUAGAUUGACGGACGAGAUCACAGUGAUGAACCAGGUCAAGAUUACUAUUGGUGGGGGUGGGAUCGUUGUUCUGUUGGAGGGUAGGUGGUGGGGGUGUCGUUGGGCCAGAUCUUGUUCUUUUCUGGAGGUUUUUUUUAGUGGAUCUAGAUCAUCAGUCCAAUCAAUCACACUGUAACACUUCUAAAAAUAUAGAUUCUUUUGGUUCUAAACAAUUAUAAAUAAAGACGAGUAAAAAAAACCACAAUUAAAAAAAAUAAAUACAGGAAAACUGUAAUUUUUUAUUAACACAGCAAAAAUUUAGACCCCGUUUGUUUGCUGAAAAGUAGUUUUCUUUUAGAAAGUGAAUUCCGGAAAAGUGAAUUAUUUUCUGAUGUUUGGUAGUGUAAUAAAAAAUAAGUUGGAAAACACUUUCCUGUGUUUAGUUAUGUCAUAGAAAAUGAGCUGGAAAAUAACUUAUUAAUGUUUUAUUUUUCUGAAGUUUAUUAAAAUAAUGAGGAACAAAUCUUACAAAUUAAAAAGUUGAAUGAAAAUGAAAUUGAAAAGAAAUAUAACUUCAUAAAUUAUCUCAAAUAAUAGAAAUAUUAAUCAAAAUAAUAGAAAUCAAAUCUAAAAAAUAAAAAAAAAUGAAAGAUAAAAAAAUUAAAAUAAUAAUAAUUAAAAUUUCAUAAAUUAUUUCAAAUAAAAUAAGUAACAAUCAAAAGAAUAAGAAUCAAAUUUGAUAGAUAAAAAAUUUCAAUAAAAAAAAUAAUAAGGGAAAAACUAAUAACAAUUAUAAAAAUGAGGACCAAAGUUAAUAUAAAAAUUAAAUUUUAAGAGAUGAAAUUGAAAAAUAAAUAUUCAAAACAAAAAAUAUAUAUAUAUCAAUCAAAAGUUUGAGGACCAAAUUUGAUAUAAUCAGCAAAUAAUAUGACAUUUCUAAAUUUUUCACAACUUCCAGAAAGUGUUUUCCAUCCAAAUUUUCCAGGAAAACACUUUCCUGGAAACCAAACCAAUUUUUCCUUUGACGGGAAAGUGUUUUCCGUUGACCAACUUUUCUAAUGGCAAACAAAUACAGGAAAGUUUGGAAAGUGGUUUUCCGGAAACCACUUUCCAGGAAACAAACAUAGCCUAAAGAAGAGUUAGAGGAAAAAAAAAUCUAACCACCACCAACCACUAUGAAUUUCAUUACACGUGUCACCUUAUUAUUUACAUUGCGACUGGAUGCUUCAGACAACACAACAGUUUUGCCUUUUUGACCACAAUAAGAUAUAAUACACGUCGCAUAAAGAGGGUGGGUGGUGUUCACUUGAUUGAAAUAAUAUACAAGGCUAGACAUAUUAAAAAUAUUAAUUUAAAAUAAAUAUUUUUUAGUUUUAAAAACAUAGUUCAUCUAUAAAAAAAAAAUCAUAUAUAAAUUAGAAAUUAAAAACUUGGAUUUGAGUGAACUAAUAGGUAAUUUUAAAUAAUGAGAAAAGAAGAUAUCUAACACUAUGUUUCUAUUAAAAAAUUUGCUAUUUUUUAUCCAUUAUUAUAGAGUGUAUAUUAUUUAAUUAAUUAAUAAAAUGAUAUAAUAUUAAAUGAUUUUAAUUAGUUAUUCUAAAGUAAAGAUUGCGAUUAAUCAAUAAGUGCCAGUGCCAGUGUUAAUCCUCUCUAAUAGAAAAACUUGAUAUAGAAAUUUCUAAGAAAUGAACACAUAGUAGUAGAAAGCAAGGGACUCCAUGAUCUCUGUCCACUAUAGUUAAAGCAGAACUUAUGAUUGAUUGAAGGACUUACAUAAUCAGUAGUCAUUUCUUUUAUAUAUAUAUAUAUAUAUAUAUAUAUAUAUAUAUAUAUCAUAAGUUCUAGUUAUUGUAUAGCGCAUUACGCAGGAUAAAUAUAUACAAGUAAAGUACAAUAUUUUCUAUAUUACAACAAAUCCCAUAAUACACCCCCUCAAGCUAAAGAUGGGUGAACCACAUGAAGCUUGAACCGCAAAGAAGCAAAAGCAGAGUGGGGAAAUGACUUAGUAAGAACAUCAGCUACUUGGUCUUUGGAGGAUAUAAAACGAAUUUGUAUCUCCUUUUUAGCCACUCUAUCACGAACAAAGUGAUAAUCAACCACAACAUGAUUUGUACGUGCAUGGAAGAUAGGAUUAGCAUACAAAUACGUAGCACCCAAAUUGUCGCACCAAAUGGUGGUAACAAGACUGGGAGAAAAACAUAAAUCUGUUAAAAGAUAGCGAAGCCAAAGAACCUUAGCAGUACCAUCAACUAAUGCUUUAUAUUCUACUUUAGUGGAGGAGCGAGCAACAGUACGUUGCUUGCCAAAUUUCCAUGAAAUGGGAGUGGUGCCGAGAAAGACAAUGUAGCCACCCGUAGACUUUCGAUCAUCAAUGCUCCCCACCCAAUCAGCAUCAGUAAAACCAUGAAGUGAUAACAAUGAGCCACGAGUAAGGUGAAGACCAAAGGAAGACGUACCUUUCAAGUAUUGUAGUAUACGUUUGACAGCCGCCCAAUGACUCUUAGUAGGAGCAUGCAUAAACUGACAUACCUUAUUGACAACAUAACAUAUGUUUGGUCUAGUAAAUGUGAGAUACUGAAAAGCACCAAUAAUUUGACGAAAACAAGUGGGGUCCGAGAAUGGCUCACUAGUCGGUAGGCCACUCUUGGAGGCAAAAGCUAGUGUAUCAACAGGCUUGCACGAUGACAUACCAGCAUGACUCAGGAUAUCAAGAGCAUAUUUAUGUUGACUAAGCAUGAGACCCAUACUGGUGGGAGUAACUUCAAUCCCCAAGAAAUAGUGAGCAUUACCCAGAUCUUGGAGUUUGAAUUCUGAACUCAGCAGGAUAACAAGACGUUGAAUCAAAGUGGAGUUACUACCAGUAAGCAAAAUGUCAUCCACAUAGACAAGCAAAUAACAAAUAUCAUGAUUCACAUUCAGAAUGAAUAAGGAAGUAUCAACCAUGGAAGCGUGAAAGCCAACCGACAGAAGAAAGUCACUCAGUCGUUUGUACCAAGCCCGCGGGGCUUAUUUUAAACCAUAAAAGACUUGUAAAGGCGACACACAUGAGUUGGCAAGACAUGGUCGACAAAUUUCAUGGGUUAUUGCAUAUAAACAACCUCCUGAAGUGAAUAAUUGAGAAAGACAUUAUGAACAUCAAGUUGUCGUAUCUGCUAACGAUUACAUACGACAAUGACAAGGACUAGGUGGACAGUGGUCGGUUUAACAACAUGACUGAAGGUUUCUGAGUAGUCGAUACCUUCCUGUUGCAUGAACCCUCAUAUAACCAAACGCGCCUUGUAACGUUCAACAAUACCAUAAGCUCGGUGCUUGAUUUUGUAAACCCAUCGGCAACCAACAACAUUCAUAAAAGGCUUAUAUGGAACAAAAAACCAAGUACCAUUGGCAUGUAAAGUUGUAAUUUUAGAUCUCAUAGCAGAAUGCCAGCACAGAAAACGGUUAGCUUCUUUGAAAGACAAAGGUUCAUGAGCAGAGGAACAUGUUACCAGUGAGUUAGGAGGUAGUGGAGAGGUAGAAACUGAGCUCAAGUUGAUAGACUUGUGCUGUCGGGGACGCAGCACCAUGGGGUGCUGUCGGUAAACCACUAGAGCAGGAGAGUCAGAAGACCUGAUGGGCGUUUGCUGCAGUGGAAUGGAGUAGCUGGAAAGAUCAAUACAGAGAUCUAAGCCUGGUGGUGACUGUGCAGGGACCUGUGAAGGAGAUGCAGGGCCUGACGGGGAAGCUGGGGGUGUAGCAGAAGGAGGAGAGUCAGAUGCUGUGAUGUUCAUAGCAACAGAACCUGAACCUGUAAAAUCAUCAAGAGACAUAGUUGCAAAUGAUGGUAAGGGGAUCGAGGAGUGUGUGGGGAGGGUUGGUGUUUGAGGUAGGUUGUGUGAUGAGAAGUAUGUUAAGGCAGGAAGGUGGGAGAUAGGGGUCGACUGUGGGUUAGAAUGGGUUAUGGUAUAAACAUGAUCAGACUUAAGAAAUGGAAAGGAAUGUUCAUGGAAGCGAACAUGACGGGAGAUGUAAAUACGAUCAGAAGACAAGUCAAGACAACGAUAACCUAGAUGACAUGAACUAUAACCUAGAAACACACAAGGAGUAGAGUGAUAGUCUAGCUUAUGAACAUUAUAUGGUUGAAGAAACGAAAAGUAGAGACAUCCGAAAGUACGCAGGAAACUAUAAUCAGGUGGUUGAUGAAACAGACAUUCAAACAUAGAUUUGUUUUGUAAGACCAAUGUCAGCAUACGAUUAAUAAGAUAAACAGAGGUUUCAAAUGCAUAAUUCCAGAAUUUUAAAGGUGCCUUAUAGUGACCAAGAUGGGUAAGACCAGUUUCGACAAUAUGACGGUAGCGACACUCAACAGUACCAUUUUGUUCAUGCGUAUGUAGACAUAUGAUGUGAUGAUGAAUACCAAUAGUUUUGAAAAAGGAAUUUAAUUUAUGAUAUUCACCACCACAAUCAGUUUGUACUGAUUUUAUUUUGCGAGAGAAUUGUCGUUCAACCAAAACGAAAUUGAUGAAACACAUUAAACACAUCAGAUUUGACACUAAGAGGAUAAAACCAAAUAAAUUUUGUGUGCGCUUCCAUAAAGAUCACAAAAUAACAGAAACUAUCAGAAGAUAAAACAGGGGCAGGGCCCCAAACAUCACUAAAAAUUAGUUCAAGAGGAGCAGAUGUUUUGUGACCGUAGGUCCUAAUGACAAACAUAAUGAUUUUCCUAACAGACAUGUUGGAUACUGAAAAUUUAAAAGACGAGACGUACAAGUGACCUUUUUAUUUGACACUAAGAAACUCAGAACCUAGGAGCUUGGGUGACCGAGUCAACGAUGCCAAAUAUCAGCAGAGGUGAAUAAACUAGCAGACAGAAAAGCUUAGGGCAUAAACGUGGCAGAAGACUCUGAAAGGAUGUAAAAGCCAUCUUUACUCUGAUCGGAAAGCAGAACCUCCUUGGUUAUAAGAUCAUUAACAUAGAAAACAGAAGAGUGAAAUGAAAAAAAGACACAGUUUUCACGGCAGAAUUGUUGAACAGAUAAGAGUUUUUUUUUUAAUUUUUGGAACAUGCAAGACAUUAGACAACAUAAAAACUCGUUUAGGGGUACGUAAGAUAUUAUGGGCUAUAUGAGAUAUGACAAGUCCUUUACCAUCACCAACAUGCAAUUGAUCAUUACUAAGAUAAGGUUCUGCAUGUGUCAUGCCGGCAAUAUCUGGAGUAACAUGCUGAUUUACCCCAGUAUCAGGAAACCAAGUGACAAAAUUUGUUGUGGAAGCGUCACUAAAAGAGAGGUUGGGCAAGGCGUGAUUACCAUGGUGCACAAGCUAGGAGCAUUGCUGUGCAGAGUGCCCAAAUAUAUUACAAAGCUAGGAGAAGUUGGAUAGUUGAUGCUGAAAUGAAUCUGCAGUAGAAUUUCUGCAGAGGGAGCCGAAGUUGGCUACUGAUAUGAUAUCUGUUUACAAGAGUGUAGACUGGACACAAUGCAAUUUUUCAGAACUGAGGCAGGGAAGAGGAAAGAAGAUGAAAAACGUUAUUUUUUAGAGGAAAAACGUUUGCAGCAGGUUCUUUGGCAAAGAAAAAGAGGAUGUGCCGAUUAGAGGGAGAAGAAACAAGCGUAAAUCUGUUUAGAUAUUUUAGUCUCUGAUACCAAAUUGCAGCACAACUUAUUAUUGAUUGAAGAACUUAUAUAAUCAGUAGCCAUCUUUUAUAUAAAUAUGACUAGGACAACAUAUAGUAGAUACUGUGUAGUGCACUGUGCAAGAUACAUAUAUACAAGAAAAGUACAAUAUUUUCUAUAUUACAACACAUCCCAUUUAUCAUUGACUUUUUUCCCAAUAAGAGAACAAUAAAUGUGGCGUGACUUUUUUCGUUGACUUCAAUCUCCAGUUUUGCUAAGCUGGCUAAAUUAAGCCGAUAAAAGAUAACUUUCUUUUUUCCACCAUGAGCGCUGCUAGCUAGAGAGCUUGAUAACCAGUUUUGCUAAGCUUCUUUCCAUUCCUUUUCCACAUUACCUUUCAUCUGAUAAAAAGAUAUAACUUUCUUUCUUCCACCAUGAGGGCUGCUAGCUUGCUGAUCACCAAAAAGAUGAACUCUCUCAAAGUCAACGUUAUCCUGCUCUCGUUGCUUACCCUUGCUAUUAUCACUCUAGCACAGGAGGAUGCCAAUUACCUCUAUCAUAAUUGCCAUAACGCAACCACCUCCACAUUAAACAGCACCUACCGAGUCAAUCUAAAUCUCCUCCUCUCUUCACUUGCCUCGAAUGCAACCCGGAAUAAUACCAUUGGAUUCUACAACACCUCUUUCGGGAAGAAC